UGGCAGUAUCAUCAAGUAGGACUCUGACAUGCGCUGAUCAGGGUUUGUUAUCUGUUCCUCCCUCCAGGCUGAAGACAAAAGGAGCCUGUGCUUUUGAGUGAGAUGACUGAUACAGAAACCAGCUUGUGUUUGACAUGGGCUGUUGGAGCUGGUGGGCAGGGUGUAGCAGCAGCAGCAGCAGCAGUUGGGACAGUCGGUUUAAAUCGGAGCAGGGUAACCAGGAUACUGAGGAGUGUGAGCUCUCCCUUCAUCUGGCUUUUAAACAAAUAUUGACAAGAGCUUCAAGCAGAGGCAAACAGGCUCUCAGGGAAAGAGAGACAUGUCGGACGGGCUUUGACGUAAUGUGUCUCUCGUGGGUGAUAAAACCUACGGGAGAUGUUUUUGGAGCUAAAGAGCGACGGGGAUUUAUAAAAGCAAUGUUGAGGGAAUCACGUGCAGGAGGGAGCGACGUUUUUAAAGACACGUACGUGAAACUGUAGCUCGAGCACCAGUGAUUUAACGGCUAACAUUUGAUUUCAUGUUUCAGAUCCAAAAUGCCACAACGACAGCAAUUAAAUAUGACUUUUACUUGUGUGAUUAUUGGCGAGUGAAAUGUUUUUGGUUUUCUUAUGUCUCGUUUUUGGCACAAGUAGA